rnacentral:rRNA from 1 species
AGUGAACGCUGGCGGUAGGCCUAACACAUGCAAGUCGAACGGCAGCACAGUAAGAGCUUGCUCUUACGGGUGGCGAGUGGCGGACGGGUGAGGAAUACAUCGGAAUCUACUUUUUCGUGGGGGAUAACGUAGGGAAACUUACGCUAAUACCGCAUACGACCUACGGGUGAAAGCAGGGGAUCUUCGGACCUUGCGCGAUUGAAUGAGCCGAUGUCGGAUUAGCUGGUUGGCGGGGUAAAGGCCCACCAAGGCGACGAUCCGUAGCUGGUCUGAGAGGAUGAUCAGCCACACUGGAACUGAGACACGGUCCAGACUCCUACGGGAGGCAGCAGUGGGGAAUAUUGGACAAUGGGCGCAAGCCUGAUCCAGCCAUACCGCGUGGGUGAAGAAGGCCUUCGGAUUGUAAAGCCCUUUUGUUGGGAAAGAAAAGCAGCAGGUUAAUACCCCGCUGUUCUGACGGUACCCAAAGAAUAAGCACCGGCUAACUUCGUG